CCUAGCGGCGGACGGGUGAGUAAUGCGUAGGAAGCUGCCCGAUAGAGGGGGAUACCAGUUGGAAACGACUGUUAAUACCGCAUAAUGUCUACGGACCAAAGUGUGGGACCUUCGGGCCACAUGCUAUCGGAUGCGCCUACGUGGGAUUAGCUAGUUGGUGAGGUAAUGGCUCACCAAGGCGACGAUCUCUAGCUGGUUUGAGAGGAUGAUCAGCCACACUGGAACUGAGACACGGUCCAGACUCCUACGGGAGGCAGCAGUGGGGAAUAUUGGACAAUGGGCGCAAGCCUGAUCCAGCCAUGCCGCGUGUGUGAAGAAGGCCUUCGGGUUGUAAAGCACUUUCAGCGAGGAGGAAGGGUUAGUCGUUAAUAGCGGCUAAUUUUGACGUUACUCGCAGAAGAAGCACCGGCUAACUCUGUGCCAGCAGCCGCGGUAAUACAGAGGGUGCAAG
rnacentral:rRNA from 1 species